rnacentral:lncRNA from 1 species
AGUUAUUAGAAGUUAGGAUUUGAAGAUGAAGCAGGUUGCAUUAGAAUGGGCAUAUGGUACCAAAAAAGGCUUCUUGUAUAUGUCACAAAAAUCUAAAGGAAAUAAGAUAUUCUAAAAUAAAGUCAUGAGGAGGAAGAGCAUUCCAGGCAUGGGAAAUAGCCAAUUCAAAAACCUAGAGAAAAGAGAUUGGAUGUCUCGUGUAAGAAACAGCAAGAAGGACUAUUUGGCUGGACCAUCAAAUAAGGACAUCGAAUAAAUGAAGCACCAGAUGACCUGCCAGCAUUAAUCUGACUAUAAGUCACCCCUAGGAACAAUAACGUGCUCUUGUACAAAUUUCAACUUAGAAAUCAUUUCAAAAGAAUGUUGAUAUAUUUGUUUUCCUGGGUUAAAAAAUGAUGCAUCCUCCUUCCCCAUCCCCAUAUCCUAGUCCC